rnacentral:rRNA from 1 species
UACGUAGGGUGCGAGCGUUGUCCGGAAUUAUUGGGCGUAAAGAAGCUCGUAGGCGGUGUGUCACGUCGGCCGUGAAAAACCUGCAGCUUAACUGUGGGCGUGCGGUCGAUACGGGCAUCACUGGAGUUCGGCAGGGGAGACUGGAAUUCCUGGUGUAGCGGUGAAAUGACGCAGAUAUCAGGAGGAACACCGAUGGCGAAGGCAGGUCUCUGGGCAUUAACUGACGCUGAGGAGCGAAAGCAUGGGGAGCGAACAGG